AUUGCUUCUCGGCCUUUUGGCUAAGAUCAAGUGUAGUUCCAUUUGGUUGGAGAAACUAUUUUAUUCUUGUAUCUUGAGGUGAUGUCUAUUGUUGAUAGUAGGGUGUGCUUCUUAGAGGCAGCAAAAAGAUGGAUCCUGUUUUCUCAUCCAGUGUGCCAGUCUGUGUCUCUUUUGAGUAACUGGAACCAUU